rnacentral:rRNA from 1 species
UACGUAGGGCGCAAGCGUUGUCCGGAAUUAUUGGGCGUAAAGAGCUCGUAGGCGGUUUGUCGCGUCUGCUGUGAAAACGCGAGGCUCAACCUCGCGCCUGCAGUGGGUACGGGCAGACUAGAGUGCGGUAGGGGAGACUGGAAUUCCUGGUGUAGCGGUGGAAUGCGCAGAUAUCAGGAGGAACACCGGUGGCGAAGGCGGGUCUCUGGGCCGUAACUGACGCUGAGGAGCGAAAGCAUGGGGAGCGAACAGGAUUAGAAACCCCCGUAGUCC